AGCGAACGCUGGCGGCAGGCCUAACACAUGCAAGUCGAACGAACUCUUCGGAGCUAGUGGCGGACGGGUGAGUAACACGUGGGAACGUGCCUUUUGGUUCGGAAUAACUCAGGGAAACUUGUGCUAAUACCGAAUGCGCCCUUCGGGGGAAAGAUUUAUCGCCAUUAGAGCGGCCCGCGUCUGAUUAGCUAGUUGGUGAGGUAACGGCUCACCAAGGCGACGAUCAGUAGCUGGUCUGAGAGGAUGACCAGCCACACUGGGACUGAGACACGGCCCAGACUCCUACGGGAGGCAGCAGUGGGGAAUCUUGCGCAAUGGGCGAAAGCCUGACGCAGCCAUGCCGCGUGAAUGAUGAAGGUCUUAGGAUUGUAAAAUUCUUUCACCGGGGACGAUAAUGACGGUACCCGGAGAAGAAGCCCCGGCUAACUUCGUG
rnacentral:rRNA from 1 species